UACGGAGGGAGCUAGCGUUGUUCGGAAUUACUGGGCGUAAAGCGCACGUAGGCGGCUUUGUAAGUUAGAGGUGAAAGCCCGGGCUCAACCCCGGAAUUGCCUUUAAGACUGCAUCGCUUGAAUCCGGGAGAGGUGAGUGGAAUUCCUGGUGUAGCGGUGAAAUGCGCAGAUAUCAGGAGGAACACCAAUGGCGAAGGCAGCUCGCUGGGACGGUACUGACGCUGAGGCGCGAAAGCGUGGGGAGCGAACAGG
rnacentral:rRNA from 1 species